rnacentral:rRNA from 1 species
GAUGAACGCUGGCGGCGUGCCUAACACAUGCAAGUCGAACGGUUGAGUACUUGACUUUUAGUUACUGAUUGUAAGAGAUGAGUGAUUAAAAGUUAAGUACUCGAUAGUGGCGGACGGGUGAGUAACGCGUAAGUAAUCAACCUGUGACACACGGAUAACUGAUAGAAAUGUCAGCUAAUACGAGAUGAACUGUUUAAAUUGGGAGAUAGAAACAGCAAAGCGAAAGCGGUCACAGACGAGCUUGCGUCUGAUUAGCUAGUUGGUGGGGUAAGAGCCUACCAAGGCGACGAUCAGUAGCCGGCCUGAGAGGGUGAACGGCCACAUUGGAACUGAGACACGGUCCAAACUCCUACGGGAGGCAGCAGUGGGGAAUAUUGCACAAUGGGGGGAACCCUGAUGCAGCGACGCCGCGUGAGCGAAGAAGGUUUUCGAAUCGUAAAGCUCUGUCCUAUGAGAAGAUAAUGACGGUAUCAUAGGAGGAAGCCCCGGCUAAAUACGUGCCAGCAGCCGCGGUAAUACGUAUGGGGCGAGCGUUGUCCGGAAUUAUUGGGCGUAAAGGGUACGUAGGCGGUUUUUUAAGUCAGGUGUGAAAGCGUGAGGCUUAACCUCAUUAAGCACUUGAAACUGGAAGACUUGAGUGAAGGAGAGGAAAGUGGAAUUCCUAGUGUAGCGGUGAAAUGCGUAGAUAUUAGGAGGAAUACCGGUGGCGAAGGCGACUUUCUGGACUUUUACUGACGCUCAGGUACGAAAGCGUGGGGAGCAAACAGG